GAAACAGAGGCGAUUAUCUCUUCACACUCCCCAUCCCAGCACUGCCUCCGUUGGAAGGGGCUGCCCUUCUCUGGUCUUUGGUGGGGGAGGCGGGGAGACCCCCUCCCAGCUAUAGACAUCACAGCUCCAAGGCUUGCUAGAAGGAAACUCAAGCCGUAGACGAGAGCCACUCUGGCUUUGCUAGGCCCCUCCCAGAUAGGAAGCCCACAUCUCACUGAAGGAUACCACAAUGGCAGACUUGUAUGUUGUUCUGCAGUUGUGUCUGACUACCUCCCCAUCUUCUGACAACAGGACUCUGAACCAAAGCAGUGAGGAGUUGCGUUGUGUCUGUUAAUGGCAGACAACCAUUAACAGUGGUGGGACCUGAUGCAAGUCAUUGCCCCAAGAAGGGCCUCAGCUCCCUCCUCUGUAAGGGGGUGGAACCCUGAUGUUGCCAGUGGUUGUGAAGCCUCACCAAGGGAACCUGCUAGUUCACUCUAGUCCCUAUAACCUCACCCAAGGCCAGAGGAGCCAGCCGGGAUAGAUAAUGUAGAGGGCCAGUGGCUUAGUCCCAAUCCAGCCAAUCUCCCAGCCUAUGACCAAUACUUCAGCCAAUGAGGGGCCAGGAAGAUGAGCCAGCUUUAUUUUAGGUCCCAUAGGAGGUGGUGGCACUAAAAAUAGGAGCUCAGUGCUAAGAUGACUAAGAAAUGUCCAAGAAAAGUCUAAAACAAGCAGAAGAGAAAGACUGGACCCAGGCACGCCUGCUACACAGGAAUACAAGAAAGAACAGUCUAAAAAGAAAAAUGCCAAGGCUCAGAAGCAGCCUCAUAUCAGGUUGGGGACUGACCUUCGUGACGGCUUCUCCUACAGUUCUUCCAAGAGGACCGCUGACCACGCCAUCUCCUGCUUCACCCCAACAGUCCGCAGGCUGAGUGAGGCCAGGCUCCUCGAGGAGCAGAAAUGACCUCGAUGACCUCUCGCCCACUGAGCAUCAGCCUUCACUGACCUUUAGGUCUCUGUGGGUGCAAAGACCCUCUAAGAAUGUCUCAAAAACUGUGACCCUCUCCCAAUAAAUUUGCACAGAGGUAGGGAUGUCCCAGCCUUGUGAAUAAUUUCAGAUUGUUCAGACUCCCUGAGGCUGUCAAAGAUCCCAGGGUAAAUCUUUUGCCCCCCCCCCAAAAAAAAAAAUCUUUUGUCCAGAAGACCCCAUUAGACAACAGAAAAUUUUCAUUUCUAUCCUCAAAUUCUGGGUCAGUGUUUCCAGUGACAAAACUUUAAAAAAAUUUUUUU